AACCUGGUUGAUCCUGCCAGUAGCAUACGCUUGUCUCAAAGAUUAAGCCAUGCAUGUCUAAGUAUAAACAAAUCUAUACUGUGAAACUGCGAAUGGCUCAUUAUAUCAGUUAUAGUUUAUUUGAUGGUUCUUGCUACUUGGAUAACCGUAGUAAUUCUAGAGCUAAUACAUGCAUCAAACCUCGACUUUUUUGGAAGAGGUGUAUUUAUUAGAUGGAAACCAAUGCGGGGCAACCCGGAUUCAGGUGAUUCAUAAUAACUUUCGGAUCGAUCUUCGGAUCGAUGCAUCAUUCAAGUUUCUGCCCUAUCAGCUUUGGAUGGUAGGGUAUUGGCCUACCAUGGCUUUAACGGGUAACGGAGAAUUAGGGUUCGAUUCCGGAGAGGGAGCCUGAGAAACGGCUACCAC
rnacentral:rRNA from 1 species